rnacentral:sRNA from 1 species
UAUUCUGCCCCACGGGGAAGGAUGAGAAGCUUCGACUAAGGUUCGACUCGAGCGAAGCGAGAGAACGUUGCCGC